GGAUGUGAGGGUGAUCUGGCUGCAACAGGGUUGAUUCGGCUGAUCUGGCUGGCUAGCUGGGUGUCCACUUCCUCCCUCACUGCUCCAUGUGUGUCCCUCACAAAGCUGUGCUUGGUUGAAGAAGAUGACCUUCCCCAAUAGAGGAGGACCGAAUAGCUGCGCUCCCCUGCUAGAACUUCCAAACAAGAUUUGCCCAAAGCCAUGUCUGUGGGGAGGUUAUCUUAAUUAGUAAUUUUUUUUUUUGACAAAUCUCACCCCACCGUGAGUCGUACAGGGGGCUUGAGUUGUUUG
rnacentral:snRNA from 1 species